CCCUUAGAUGUUCUGGGCUGCACGCGCGCUACACUGUCGGAUUAAGCGAGUCAUAUCCUUAACCGAAAGGUUUGGGUAAUCUUUUGAAAGUCCGACGUGAUGGGGAUUGAUCAUUGCAAUUAUUGAUCAUGAACGAGGAAUUCCUAGUAAGCGCGAGUCAUCAGCUCGCGUUGAUUACGUCCCUGCCCUUUGUACACACCGCCCGUCGCUACUACCGAUUGAAUGGUUUAGUGAGAUCUUCGGAUUGGCGCCUACGCGGCUUCUCUGAGGCCACGCUGGAUGCCGAAAAGUUGCUCAAACUGUAUCAUUUAGAGGAAGUAAAAGUCGUAACA
rnacentral:rRNA from 1 species